AUGAAAACAUGUAAGACGGUGUCUGUGUGCACCCCACUAGAGGAGGAUCAAGGCACACAUGUGUUUGAUAUCUUGGGUUACAGCAAGCACAAGGGCAUGGGCCAUGACCUGGAUAGCUACAUAAGGUCUGGGAUUUUCUCCGUCGGCAGCCAUGACUGGGGAAUCUUCUUCUAUCCCGACAGGCUUAAUGGAUAUGGCCUAGAUUACAUCUCAGUAUAUCUCAUUCUUUUGAGCAACAAUGUUAAACUCCGGGCAUCCUGUGACAUGAGGCUCGUGGACCAGUACACUGGAUUCCCAUUUUCAGUGCAUAAAACAGAACUUAGAACUUUCAGUUCCGGUGACUUCACUAACUUUGCUCCUGAGACUCCUUAUUUCAUGAGGCGAAGUGAGUUUGAGGGAUCUCCGUACCUUAGGGAUGAUCGCUUGACGAUCGAAUGCAUCGUCACUGUUUUCAAGAUGCCACAUGUUACUGAAACCAAAUCAUUCCCCAAAAUCGACAUGCCACAACCUGACAUGACUGAGAAUGUCAGCAAGCUACUUGAAGAAAUGACAGGAUUUGAUGUGAGUUUCAUUGUUGGAGGAGAGACUAUUGAAGCACAUAGGUUUGUUCUCACUAUGAGGUCGCCUGUUUUCAAAGCAGAGCUCUAUGGGUCGAUGCAGAAGGCGAGGCUGGGGGAGUGCAUAACCAUCAAGGACACGCAACCUGCCAUUUUCAAGGCCCUGCUCCAUUUCAUCUAUACUGACUCUUUGCCUAGCAGCGAGGAUACAGAGAUGAUCCGGCUUUUACUAGUGGCCGCGGAUAGAUAUGCAAUGGAUAGGCUCAAGCUGGUUUGCCAAAGCAUCCUUUGCGAGGAUUUGAAUGUGGACACCAUCACAACCACAUUGGCUUUUGCUGAGCGACAUAACUGCCACCAGCUUAAGGAUGCUUGCCUUGAAUUUAUCAAAUUAUCAAAUUUCAUGGAUGAUGUGGUGGGAACCCAACGCUUAAAGGAUCUCAAGGCGACUUGC
rnacentral:rRNA from 1 species